rnacentral:rRNA from 1 species
CCUACGGGAGGCAGCAGUGCGGAAUAUUGGUCAAUGGCCGGAAGGCUGAACCAGCCAAGCCGCGUGUAGGACGAAGGUGCCAAGCUUUGUAAACUUCUUUUGUCAAGGGACAAAAUCAGGCUCGAGAGCCUGACCGAGGGUACUUGCAGCAAAGGCAUCGGCUCACUCCGUGCCAGCAGCCGCGGUAAUACGGAGGAUGCGAGCGUUCUCCGGAUUUGUUGGGUUAAAAGGAUGCGUAGGCGGUCUGUUAAGUCAGCGGUAAAAUUGCGGGGCUCAACCCCGUCGAGCCGUUGAAAUUGGCAGACUUGAGUUGGCGAGAAGUACGCGGAAUGCGCGGUGUAGCGGUGAAAUGCAUAGAUAUCGCGCAGAACUCCGAUUGCGAAGGCAGCGUACCGGCGCCAGACUGACGCUGAGGCACGAAAGCGUGGGGAUCGAACAGGAUUAGAUACCCGAGUAGUC